rnacentral:miRNA from 1 species
GCACACACACACACACACACACGCUGAAUAAUCUGGGCGCUCAGACCUCUGAUUCUGGAGCCUGUGUGUGUGUGUGUGUGUGUGUGUGUGU